rnacentral:rRNA from 1 species
AGGGUGUAAACGCUGCAGACUUGGUGUUGGAGGCCCUUUGGGGGCAUUCAGUGCCGGAGAGAAGUUGUUAAGUCUGCUACUUGGGGAGUACGUCCGCAAGGAUGAAACUUAAAGGAUUGGCGGGGGAGCACCGCAACGGGAGGAGCGUGCGGUUUAAUUGGAUUCAACACCGUAAAACUCACCAGGGAAGACUGUUACAUGAAGGCCGAGAUGAAGACUCUGCUAGAUUUUUCAGAGAGGUGGUGCAUGGCGUCAGUGACUGU